rnacentral:rRNA from 1 species
GAUGAACGCUGGCGGCGUGCCUAAUACAUGCAAGUCGAGCGAACAGACGAGGAGCUUGCUCCUCUGACGUUAGCGGCGGACGGGUGAGUAACACGUGGAUAACCUACCUAUAAGACUGGGAUAACUUCGGGAAACCGGAUCUAAUACCGGAUAAUAUAUUGAACCGCAUGGUUCAAUAGUGAAAGACGGUUUUGCUGUCACUUAUAGAUGUAUCCGCGCCGCAUUAGCUAGUUGGUAAGGUAACGGCUUACCAAGGCAACGAUGCGUAGCCGACCUGAGAGGGUGAUCGGCCACACUGGAACUGAGACACGGUCCAGACUCCUACGGGAGGCAGCAGUAGGGAAUCUUCCGCAAUGGGCGAAAGCUUGACGGAGCAACGCCGCGUGAGUGAUGAAGGUCUUCGGAUCGUAAAACUCUGUUAUUAGGGAAGAACAAAUGUGUAAGUAACUAUGCACGUCUUGACGGUACCUAAUCAGAAAGCAACGGCUAACUACGUG